rnacentral:rRNA from 1 species
AGUGAACGCUGGCGGUAGGCCUAACACAUGCAAGUCGAACGGCAACAGAGUAAGAGCUGGCUCUUACGUGUGGCGAGUGGCGGACGGGUGAAAAAUACAUCGGAAUCUACUUUUUCGUGGGGGAAAACGUAGAGAAACUUACGCUAAUACCGCAUACUACCUACGGGUGAAAGCAGGGGCUCUUCGGACCUUGCGCGAUUGAAUGAGCCGAUGUCGGAUUAGCUAGUUGGCGGGGUAAAGGCCCACCAAGGCGACGAUCCGUAGCUGGUCUGAGAGUAUGAUCAGCCACACUGGAACUGAGACACGGUCCAGACUCCUACGGGAGGCAGCAGUGGGGAAUAUUGGACAAUGGGCGCAAGCCUGAUGCAGCCAUACCGCGUGUGUGAAGAAGGCCUUCGGGUUGUAAAGCACUUUUAUUGGGAAAGAAAAGAAUAAGGUUAAUACCCCGCUGUUCUGACGGUACCCAAAGAAUAAGCACCGGCUAACUCCGUG